CAGCAGUUCCGUGUGUAUUUGUAGCUCAUCCAUUUUGUGUGUGAUCGAUCUGGUAUUGGUGAGUAGAAGGCUUGGCAGUGUCGAUUUUCAAAAGAAAGUA